rnacentral:rRNA from 1 species
AUACGUAGGGAGCGAGCGUUGUCCGGAAUUACUGGGUGUAAAGGGAGCGUAGGCGGGACGGCAAGUCAGAUGUGAAAUACAUGGGCUCAACCCAUGGGCUGCAUUUGAAACUGCUGUUCUUGAGUGAAGUAGAGGUAAGCGGAAUUCCUGGUGUAGCGGUGAAAUGCGUAGAUAUCAGGAGGAACACCGGUGGCGCAGGCGGCUUACUGGGCUUUUACUGACGCUGAGGCUCGAAAGCGUGGGGAGCAAACAGGAUUAGAUACCCUGGUAGUCCACGCUGUAAACGAUGAUUACUAGGUGUGGGGGGACUGACCCCUUCCGUGCCGCAGUUAACACAAUAAGUAAUCCACCUGGGGAGUACGGCCGCAAGGUUGAAACUCAAAUGAAUUGACGGGG